rnacentral:lncRNA from 1 species
GGCAUAGGGAUCACCACUCUGCUUUCUGGUCUUGGUAUUUUGCUGUUGUGAGAACCUUCAUCUAGCAACUGAUGGACACAGAUGCAGAGAUCCACAGCUAAGCACUGGGCCAAGCUCCCAGAGUCCAGUCGAAGAGAGGGAGGAGUGAUAAUAUGAACAAAGAGGUCAAGACCAUGAUGGGGAAACCCUCAGAAACAGCUGACCUGAGCUAAAAGGAGCUCACUGACUCUGGACUGACAGUGUUGGAACCUGCAUACGACCAAACUAGGCCCUCCCAAUGUGGGUGACAGUUGUGUGGCCUGAGCAAUCUACUGGGCUACUGACAAUGGGACCAAGAUUUAUCCCUAGUGUUUGAAAUGGCUUUUUGGAACCCAUUCUCUUUGGAGAGAUACUUUGCUCAGCCUAGAUAUAGUGGGGAGGGCCUUGGUCCUGCCUUAAUGUUAUGUACUAGACUUUGUUGACUCCUCAUGGGAAGCCUUACUCUCCCGAAGGAAUGGAUGG